rnacentral:piRNA from 1 species
UUCUCUUUGCACACAUUGGAGCUUCUAGAA